rnacentral:rRNA from 1 species
AUUGAACGCUGGCGGCAGGCUUAACACAUGCAAGUCGAGCGGAGAUGAGGUGCUUGCACCUUAUCUUAGCGGCGGACGGGUGAGUAAUGCUUAGGAAUCUGCCUAUUAGUGGGGGACAACAUUCCGAAAGGAAUGCUAAUACCGCAUACGUCCUACGGGAGAAAGCAGGGGAUCUUCGGACCUUGCGCUAAUAGAUGAGCCUAAGUCGGAUUAGCUAGUUGGUGGGGUAAAGGCCUACCAAGGCGACGAUCUGUAGCGGGUCUGAGAGGAUGAUCCGCCACACUGGGACUGAGACACGGCCCAGACUCCUACGGGAGGCAGCAGUGGGGAAUAUUGGACAAUGGGGGGAACCCUGAUCCAGCCAUGCCGCGUGUGUGAAGAAGGCCUUAUGGUUGUAAAGCACUUUAAGCGAGGAGGAGGCUACCUGGAUUAAUACUCUAGGAUAGUGGACGUUACUCGCAGAAUAAGCACCGGCUAACUCUGUGCCAGCAGCCGCCGUAACAC